UGUGUAAUAUUUCACCGCAAAUGAGACUCUGCCCCAGGGAUAGUUUGGAGUGGAUUUUAUCCUGCUUUUGUGUGUUGCAUCAGAGAGCCUUUUACCUGUGGACUUUGACAGAAAUGAAGAAAAAUCUCAUCCGUUUUCCUCAGUUGUCCUUACCUCAUAUGAAGGAAAACAUUCACAGCUGUCUCUAGUGUCCUGCAAUGCAAUAAUUUUUCUCAGAGGUAGCUUAAUACCCGAAAACCUGCUGACAUGGCCACUUUCUUUCUGUGGUACUGUAAUGUCUGGACACUGGGAGUACAAGUACGAUCUCUGUAAAUUUCCAUUAAGCCCAGUACCCCUUUAAACAAACUCAUAAAACAAAAAUCCACAAGAUUUGUACUCGGCAGAAAAUUCUCUCCUUGGGCAAUUAUUGCAGACAUAUCUUAGCAAUAACUCCAGCAUUGGAUGAGUUAUAUUCUUUCUCCUUCUUUGUCACUGGGCUAGUUUUUCCUUUGGAUGGAGUGUACUGGACAGUGCUAUGCUCUUGAGGCACUUGUCCAGCAUGAAGUUGACUUGAAUUUGUUUGAACAUCAAUUGCUGUUCUAAUAACCAUUUCUAAGGAGGCAGCAGGAAAAGAAUAUGCUACAGUCUGCACAAAAUGAAGAUAAAACAAAUGUAAACUGAGAUCAGAUAAUUAACGCAUCUUUGUAAGGUACUUGUAACAAAUCCCAAGAAACUAUUCCACAGUUCUUUAAAGCAAGGAGGCUAAGCUUUGUAAACUUAAUGGGGUUCCUCUUUCACUCUUUGAAGGGAUCUAAACUAGAAACACAGGGUUGGUUUUUUUUUUUAGGGUCAAGAAAAUGUAAAUGACAAUGUAUAGAAAACAUUGCAACUUCAAUCCAAUUCAUUCUCGCUUCAAAAACAGAAAAAAAACACCAAAACCCCAAACCUCAACCAGAUCUUUCCUGUGAUAUAUAAACAGAAAGGUUUUAGACACUUCUUUCAGAUAAACGCAACAAUACAGCAAUGUCUUGUAACAAUGCUGGUAAGAAAUAAGAUCCUGAUGAACAGCAAAGAGGAUAAUGUAUUUCCUGGAGGAUAUCCAGAUUUUUUUCUCUUUUUGGAAAGAGACUUCCCAGGUUUUGCCAUCAAAACAGAUAACUGAGUUGAAUAUCAAUCACUGCAGGAAUAAAAGAAAAUGCCUGGCAUGCACAACAGAAAAAUCUGUUCUGAAUAACCUGCAGCACAGAAAAUGGGAAUCCCAGUGCAGUUCCAUAAUCAAUGCCUAACACUAUAGCAGAACCUGCAGUAUGUCACUGCAAACUCUGGCUAUGUAUAUACACACAGCGCAAAACCAGGUGUGCAUAAAGGCAAAAAAAGUUUUACAAGCUGUGGGUUGAAGUCAAUUGUGGCAACACCCUAAGAAGGUCAGAAUUAGACUAAGCAUUCAUUCAAUUUUGUUAAAUUGAAGUAUGUAACUGUUAUUCUGGUGGUAAAAAUUUUAUUCUUUCCUAUGUAUCUAUGGUUUUAUCCCAUUACAUGCUGACCUUUGUUAUAUAAUUGGCAAAAGGGUAUUCCAUUAAAAGUAAAAGCUUUUUUUAUUUCA